GAGUUUAAAGCACAGUAGGCUUGGUCAGAUAAAUAUAUAAAAGGGAGAGAAAUUCAAGGCUCUCUACUCACAUCUCCAGACUUACAUUCUCACUGAACUCGAAUUGCCUCCCUCCAUCGCACCAAGAUGACUUACUACUACCAGAACCAGUGUGAGGAUGCCUGCUACACUCCCUGCAACUAUGGGACCGUGUACAGCUACCAGACCUAUGACUGCGGGAGCCCCUGUGGCUACCGGGGCUACAGGGGUCUGGGCAGUUAUCGGGACUGCUACCCCUCCUACAGCUCCCGCUAUUGCUACCCCUACUCUUCUUGCUACACCCGUAGAUACAGCUAUGGGAGCUUCUACCCCUGCUAAACCCAGCCAUAUAACGACCAGAUAGGAAAUGAAAGGCAAAAUAGUGAUUUACGACUCCUGUAUGAAUUUUACCUUUGCUAAGCUCCCGUGACAGUGACUGCAGUCAGGAAUGGUCCUGAGUGCUUAAUAUCUCUCUUCAAUGUCUGCAGCUAUUUUGAAUAACCUGCUUUUAGGGUCAACUUUUCCUUCAUAGCCUUUGUUGGUGGAUAUACUGUGUAAUUUGAUGUGUACCUUUGCAACAGGAGAUGCAGACCAGAGCAGAUGCCUCGUCUUGCCGUAUGUUGUGCUGACAGCUCUGCUCUUCACCAAACACCACCAUAGUCCCAAAAGCAUCUGCUGUGAAAUGUAGUAACUCUUUGUUUAAAGAAUGUAUGAACCUCUGGAUACCCCUAUUCUGUACUACUGUAAGCUGUAACUGCUGUGUACAGUGCUUCUUACUCUCAUUAAAAGAUCUUGCAUCGCA